AGAGUUUGAUCCUGGCUCAGAUUGAACGCUGGCGGCAUGCUUUACACAUGCAAGUCGAACGGCAGCACAGGGAGCUUGCUCCCGGGUGGCGAGUGGCGCACGGGUGAGUAAUACAUCGGAACGUGUCCUGUUGUGGGGGAUAACUGCUCGAAAGGGUGGCUAAUACCGCAUGAGACCUGAGGGUGAAAGCGGGGAUCGCAAGACCUCGCGCAAUUGGAGCGGCCGAUGCCCGAUUAGCUAGUUGGUGAGGUAAAGGCUACACCAAGGCGACGAUCGGUAGCGUGGUCUGAGAGGACCGACCAGCCACACUGGACUGAGACCACGGCCAGACUCCUACGGGAGCA
rnacentral:rRNA from 1 species